GACGUAGGAUGCGAGCGUUGUCCGGAUUUAUUGGGCGUAAAGAGUUCGUAGGUGGUUCGUUAAGUCUGGUGUAAAAGACUGGGGCUCAACCCUGGGAUCGCACUGGAUACUGGCGGACUUGAGUGUGGUAGAGGCAAGUGGAAUUCCCAGUGUAGCGGUGAAAUGCGUAGAUAUUGGGAAGAACACCGGUGGCGAAAGCGCCUUGCUGGGUCUGCACUGACACUGAGGGACGAAAGCUAGGGGAGCGAAAGGG
rnacentral:rRNA from 1 species